CUAUUCUAAAAUAUCAACAUUGAUUUUGAGCUGUGAAUGUGUAGCCUCAAAAACAAAAGAAAAGUAGUUAGUAAACAAAUUAAACAUUGAUGACGUAAGAGGAAACAAAUAAACAUUUAUCUACUCUCAGCUCAACCUCGACUGUUGUAAAAAAACAUGUGUUUAAUCUGAGAAUAGUUGCUGAGUUGCGUCAAGUUAAAAGCAUUUUAAAAUAUAAAUAAUUCUUCAUUGGAAAAUUGAUAAUUUAGCGUAUACUAAGUAUGUUAUUGUUUUUAUUGGUGGAAAGUCAUGAAUCAGGAUUCAAAUCAAAGAAGAUUAUGUGAAUUAAAACUGCAGUUAAAGAAAAUCGAAGUAAGUCUGGACGACAAAAAUGCUUCGCUUUGUCAACUUCAGCGCGAUAAGGAUGAAUAUUGCCGAAAGUGUCGUCAAUCAGAUCAGAGACUGGAAAGAUUAAACGAUGAAUUGGUGGGCGCAGAAAGAGAUUAUUCGCUAGAAGGUAGAAAAAGAGAAGAACAAAUGGUAGAACUGCAAAGAAGACUGGAUUCUAUACAACAGCAGCAACUAAAUCUAAAAGAUGCUGCUGUUGCCUCUUUGCGCACUCCUCAUUUCAAUAAUUCAUAUAAGACCUCAUCAUGCAAUCUUGAAGCAAAACUUCGCUCACAAAUAGAUAUUCUAAGACAAAGAGAUUUUCAUAAUUCAAAUGUGGCCUUUGUUAACUUAAAGAAAAGAGAAAUUGCUCAGGAAAGCCGUUACGGACAAAGAUUGGAGGAGCUUAAUGGGAAUCUCUAUGAUGAAAUGAAAGUCAGAGAACGUACAAUUCCAGGGCUAGAGCGACAAAAACAAGCAACCAAACAAAAAAUAUCGCAGCUAGAAAAAAAAAUUUAUCAAUCUCAACAAUUAACUUCUUUAGAUUUUGGGUCAUUUUUCACACACGACUCAAAACCAAUGUUGCAACUGAAAGAUAAAUGGUAAAUACAGGCGUAUCUGUAAAUGAGCUUGUGAUAUUGGAAGAAGAAAGAGCUAGGUCGCCACCAAACUAAUCUCAGCGCAUUCAUUUGUGCAAGUUGUUUUGUGACAAUUGCACGCCAGGCUACUGUAGAGGGGGGGUGAACUAUCAAAUAGACUACAUUAUCCAAUGAACACUUACCUUAAAAGAAGAGAAAGCGUGCAAGAGGAGAUACAGUAUGGGGUAUUCACAGAGUUGCAUAAAAUGCUACUUAAAAAGAGGCACUAUGCCAUCAUAAAGUCAAUAGAGUCUAAAAGUAAAUUACUGUUAUCAAAGAUUAAGGAAGAACUUGUGGGAAAGGAUAUCUUACCUU
rnacentral:misc_RNA from 1 species